UUUCCAGACUCCUACGGGAGGCAGCAGUGGGGGAUAUUGCACAAUGGGGGAAACCCUGAUGCAGCGACGCCGCGUGUGGGAAGACGGUCUUCUGGAUUGUAAACCACUGUCCCCAGGGACGAAAAUGACGGUACCUGACUAAGAAGCCCCGGCUAACUACGUGCCAGCAGCCGCGGUAAUACGUAGGGGGCAAGCGUUAUCCGGAUUUACUGGGUGUAAAGGGAGCGUAGACGGCUGUGCAAGCCAGAUGUGAAAGCCCGGGGCUCAACCCCGGGACUGCAUUUGGAACUGUGUGGCUGGAGUGUCGGAGAGGCAGGCGGAAUUCCUAGUGUAGCGGUGAAAUGCGUAGAUAUUAGGAGGAACACCAGUGGCGAAGGCGGCCUGCUGGACGAUGACUGACGUUGAGGCUCGAAAGCGUGGGGAGCAAACAGGAUUAGAUACCCCAGUA
rnacentral:rRNA from 1 species